GUUGAAACAACUUCUGGCUUUGUAGUACAAAUGUCUUGUUAUCAAAAGUUCUGAAUUAAAAUCUUCCAUCCAAAUUUUAGUCACAAUCUAAGUUCCUAACGCUAGCUUAAUGUUAACUAAAUUAUUUUACUAAAUUCUUUGUUAUAUUUAAAAUAAUUGAAA